rnacentral:rRNA from 1 species
AACGAACGCUGGCGGCAUGCCUAACACAUGCAAGUCGAACGAGACCUUCGGGUCUUGUGGCGCACGGGUGCGUAACGCGUGGGAACCUGCCCUUAGGUUCGGAAUAACUCCCCGAAAGGGGUGCUAAUACCGGAUAAUGUCUUCGGACCAAAGAUUUAUCGCCUUUGGAUGGGCCCGCGUUGGAUUAGCUAGUUGGUAGGGUAAAAGCCUACCAAGGCGACGAUCCAUAGCUGGUCUGAGAGGAUGAUCAGCCACACUGGGACUGAGACACGGCCCAGACUCCUACGGGAGGCAGCAGUGGGGAAUAUUGGACAAUGGGCGAAAGCCUGAUGCAGCAAUGCCGCGUGAGUGAUGAAGGCCUUAGGGUUGUAAAGCUCUUUUACCCGGGAUGAUAAUGACAGUACCGGGAGAAUAAGCUCCGGCUAACUCCGUG